UACGAAGGGGGCUAGCGUUGUCCGGAUUUACUGGGCGUAAAGCGCACGUAGGCGGAUCGUUAAGUCAGGGGUGAAAUCCUGGGGCUCAACCCCAGAACUGCCUUUGAUACUGGCGAUCUCGAGUCCGGAAGAGGUGAGUGGAACUCCUAGUGUAGAGGUGGAAUUCGUAGAUAUUAGGAAGAACACCAGUGGCGAAGGCGGCUCACUGGUCCGGUACUGACGCUGAGGUGCGAAAGCGUGGGGAGCAAACGGG
rnacentral:rRNA from 1 species